UUGUUCAGUGACAGUAUGUCUCUAAACAAGAUGAUACUGAGAAAAGACCAUGGUCAUCUUAAAAUGCAAUAAUGCUUUUAAGGAAUGUUAACAGUUUAUCAGCUGCACUUAUAACAUUUUGUUUUGGUCCUCACAAUUAGUGUCUGAGAUGGUGUAAAUUGUAAUAUUUUCACCCGUGAUGGAGAAAAAGUUUCAGAGACUUCAAAUCCCACAGACCCAGGAUGAAGGUGGACUCGUAUUACUGGACUUCAAGCCAUCCAACAUAGAGUGCGCUGCUCCUUGGAGCAACUCCCCAAUAAAAAGUGCAAUGUAUAGAGACAAAAGAGCCAACUGUGAAAGAGGUCAGCAAUAUAUUAACAGCAGCAAUGGACAAGGAAGAGCAAAAUAGUGGAUGAAAUAAUCUUGCUGGACGUUUGUUCAUCUUUUUCUGUAUUAGCCAGAAACUGCA